UGUGUCUUGUGUUCAGGACUGUAGGAGGUGCAGUUUCAACCCUGAUACCCACUUUGUGCAGGGUUUGCUAGAACUAGGAUGUCAGAAAACCAUUAAGGCAGGAUCGAUCUACAAGAGGAACAGCUUUUCUCUUGCCCCAGCCAUGUGGCUCUGCUGGCCCUGCCCACCUGGACACACCUGAUUAUCCCAGCAUAAGCAGCUGACAAGGCUGAACCAAGGCGUCUGUGUCUGGGCGUCUUCCGACUUUGCACCAGGACAAUGUUUGGCAGUGUCUCUCUUCAGUGCUGAGGUGGUCAGAUGGAAAGCCCAGAA
rnacentral:lncRNA from 1 species